rnacentral:rRNA from 1 species
AUUGAACGCUGGCGGCAUGCCUAACACAUGCAAGUCGAACGAGUGGCGGACGGGUGAGUAAUGUCUGGGAAACUGCCUGAUGGAGGGGGAUAACUACUGGAAACGGUAGCUAAUACCGCAUACCAUCGGAUGUGCCCAGAUGGGAUUAGCUAGUAGGUGGGGUAAAGGCUCACCUAGGCGACGAUCCCUAGCUGGUCUGAGGGGAUGACCGGCCACAUUGGAACUGAGACACGGUCCAGACUCCUACGGGAGGGAGCAGUGGGGAACAGUGCACAGUGGGCGCAAGUCUGAUGCAGCCAGGCCGCGUGUAUGAAGAAGGCCUUCGGGUUGUAAAGUACUUUCAGCGGUGAGACGUUACCCGCAGAAGAAGCACCGGCUAACUCCGUGCCAGCAGCCGCGGUAAUAC